CCCCGCCGAAGUUUUAACACAGUCAGCGGGGGCCGGCGCCGGGACUCGCGCCGCCUCGUUAGCAUUUAAAGGGGCCGCACCGUGGUCGCGGCUCGACCGAGCGAGCGAGGGACGGCGUGGGGAUCGGCCCCGGUGAGGCAGAGCUCCAGGCACUCCAGCUCCUCUGUCACAUCAAGGGCAGCUCUACGUCAUUUUCCUGGUCAACAGGAGAGGUCCCAGAAGACUGGAGACUUGUCAGUGUGACACCCAUCUACAAGAAGGGUCAUAAGGAGGAUCCAGGGAACUACAGGCCUGUCAGCCUGACCUCGGUGCCAGGAAAGGUUAUGGAGCAGAUUGUCCUGAGGGAGAUCACGCAGCAUUUGCAGGACAACCAGGGGCAUGGGUUCGUGAAGGGCAGGUCCUGCUUGACCAACCUGAUCUCGUUCUAUGAAGGAGUGACCCGCCUGAUGGAUGAGGGAAAGGCUGUUGAUGUGAUCUACCUAGACUUCGGCAAAGCCUUCAAUACUGUCUAAUGGUAUUCUCCUGGAGAAGCUGGCAGCCCGUGGCUUGGACAGGGCUCUCUUUCACGAUUGAAGGACUGGAGUCCUAUGAUAACCUGAAAAUCUGUGUUUGCAUUCCUUUGUACAGAACUUGCUUACUCCAUCCUAGCUGUGGAAAAGGUUUGGAGAAGAAAGACAUUUAAAGUUGAAGAAUUGACUUUAAAGUGGAAAACAUCCAUCUUCCCAGUUCUAGUUGGAAAUGUGAGAGAAUUCUUGUGUUUAGAUCAUGAAUUUGAACCACAGAUUUGAGAUAGAAUUUGUCCUACAGUAUGCUCUUACACACAUGCUAGCCUAAUUGGGACCUUAGGUUCACUGCAGCUGGUACCUGUGUUGAUGCUGUCCUAACACUGGUAGUACAAUGAUCUGCCACAGGCCGGUCAUUUGAACUCUUCUCUUUACCUUCCGUAUUGAAAAUUUAAGGCUAUGGCAUUCAUACAACAACAACAACAAAAAAUUAAAAUGCGCAUUAAAAUGCAAAGUUUGGUCCACUGAGUCUGGAAGAAUGCACUUGUGAUUAAACCUGAAGUGUAUGGUUGGAUCUAAAAUGUAUAGGAUUGAUUUACUGAUCUUAAUUAUUUUUACAUCACAAUUUUCUGUAAUCAACAGAUACUUCUCAAAUAACAUCUUUAAUAUUGGUUUGAAGUCAGUCUGUUGACGUUUUACAAAAUCCAGCCACUUUGGCUUUGGGGUAUCUAGGUGCUUUUUUUUGGGGGGGGGGAGAGAGGGGUGAUGGUUGUUAUUGUUUUAUUUGUUUGUUAUUAAAGACUUCUAUUAAGAAAAAAUACCUCACACUGACUUUAUUGGAAAGUAUUGAUAGCCUGUAAGUCCUUUAAUCUAGAAGGAAUCAUGACAGUUUAUAGAUUAAGUAUCUGCAGGACACAGCAGACAAAGGCAAAAAUGCUGCUCCACCAACCUGUGUCCAGAAUGCUUUAUAGUACUGAUGUAAGAGAAAAGCAAGGGAUAUCUAAAGAAUGUUCCACAUUAAAGCUAUGUAAGUCUCUCUUGGAAAGUAUAACAAAGUUUCAGUGAUAGGAAGGUAACAGACUCCAGUAGUCAUUUUCCCUUGAUCUUCAUGUCAUCCUGUAAGAACCCCCAAGCCACUGUGAGAAACUUGAUACUGAAUGUGGGACUUUUUUUUUCCAGUAGACAAUUCAUCAGAGAAUGCAGUGAAAUUAGAUUGCAUUCAUGAAUAUCUUUACCCAAAAUAAAAUUAACGAAGUACUUAAAAAUGUUAAAGAAUUCAUUUGAAUGUGCUUAAUGACUGAGUUGGUAGUCUACAUACCAUUACACUGCUUCAGCAUGGCAAAUGAAGAACAGUUCGUCACAAAACAGCCCAUAGCUUCACACUGUACCAGGAAGUGUUGGAUCAAAGGGCUGAUGUGUUCUACUAGAAGAUGUGCUUCAAAUUUGGUAGCAGUAUCUGAGAAUUAUUGCCUAUAAAUAAUUUUGGAUACUUCCAGAUGGAGGGACUUAAAUGGGCUGUUAGUGUUUCCAUCAGGACUUGUGUGUUACAAAAUGCAGAAAAGCUUAUCAGCAAAAUCAUGUUGACUGUUUGGAUAUCUCUGAAAUACCAAGAACCUGACUGCAGGCCAGAGUUGAAAGACAUGCACUUGAGAAAAAGCUGCUGCCUCUAGAGAAUAAGAAUUUCUUUGCUAAGAGAUCAGGGAUCAGACCAAUGGUCAGCAAAGACUGUGGAAAAUUCUCUGUUGACAGACUGACAUUUAAAAAACUUUGAUCAGUUCCUAAGUCUGUCAAAAACUGGGUAGUUGACAAGGCUAAAAUAUAAUACUGUACUGCCAUGCCAGUAUGCCUUUUAAUGAAGAAACUGAGGAAGGAAUUUAGUGCAAGCUUGCUAGAGUUGUUCUCAGGCUCACUCGGUGCCUGGAAAGCCUCUGUUGACCCAUUGCCCUCACUCAGCUUCCAUGUUUUGUACUAUCCUUCAGAAGAGGGCCCAGCUCAAUGCAGAGGCUUAUAUUCCGGGAUAAUUCAUACCCUUCUCUACAGCGGAGUAUUUUCAAACCAUGUUGAAAAAAGUGCAAGCAUUAGUGUCCACGGACUAAUGAAGCCAAUUUGUUAAAUUUCCAGCAGUAGAACUUUUAAAGCCAACUGAACUGCGCGUACAUCCACCGAACCUUCCUGCGUGUCUUAGGCAUCUUUCUAGGCUACUAAGUGGUAGCUAACACAGGGAAAGCCUAUUCCCCUACCUGUAACCUCCUGCAUCUUAUCCUCACCGCAGACACAGAACCCAUCCUUUCCUUCUGCCCUACCUAAACCUGCAUUGGCUUCCUCCUCCAUUCCUUUUCUCUGGAUGCUCCCUUUUAUCACUGAUCUGGCCAAGGCUUCAUGCAAUGUCAUAUGAUUAAUGUUACCUAAAGUGAAUGCAAUGUCAUACGAUUAAUGUUACCUAAAGUGAAUGCACAAUAGAACAUGUUUUCCUAACUGAGUAUUAAGUAUAUCUGGAAGGUCUUUAUCAAGGCGAGGAAUCUGUUCACUCAAGCACUGAAUUGUGUAGUGACAGUUAUGCUGGUUUGUUUCCAUAUAUUUUUUUAUUUACCAUUUUAAAAACACUGGAUGAAUGCCAGCUGUUGGCUCCAUACCAAGGAACAAGGUGUCUACAGGUUUGAACUCUGUGAUUCUCCUCUAGUCAGGGGCUGCUCUUCAGAGACAACUUUUCUUCUCUUUCUCUGAGCCAGAUCCCAGUAACGAUAAAAAGUAUGCAAGUAUCCUUUCAAAUAAGUCCUUGAAAAGGAACUCAGCUCUUAGCAAGAAUAUUUGGCAUCUAUGGAACUUUUAAGAGGCUUGA